rnacentral:rRNA from 1 species
AGUACCUGAAACCGUUGGUCUACAAACAGUCAAAGCAGACUUGUUCUGCGAUGGCGUGCCUUUUGAAGAAUGAGCCAACGAGUUACGGUGUGUGGCAAGGUUAACCCGAUGAGGGGAAGCCGGAGCGAAAGCGAGUCUGAACAGGGCGUUCAGUCGCAUGCCGUAGACCCGAAGCCGAGUGAGCUAUCCAUGGGCAGUGUGAAGCGGAGGUAAGACUCUGUGGAGGCGCGAACCGACUUCAGUUGAAAAUGGAGCGGAUGGCCUGUGGAUAGGGGUGAAAGGCCAAUCAAACUCGGUGAUAGCUGGUUCUCCGCGAAAUGCAUUUAGGUGCAGCGUCGUGCGUUCAACGAUGGGGGUAGAGCACUGAAUGGGCUAGGGGUCCUACAAGACUACCGACCCCAAUCAAACUCCGAAUACCAUCGUUCCAGAGCACGGCAGUGAGACCUCGGGGGAUGAGCUUCGAGGUCGAGAGGGAAACAGCCCAGACCGCCGGCUAAGGUCCCAAAAUCUGAACUAAGUGGUAAACGAUGUGAGAUUGCGAAGACAGCCAGGAGGUUGGCUUGGAAGCAGCCAUCCUUGAAAGAGUGCGUAACAGCUCACUGGUCGAGUGAUCUUGCGCGGACAAUGUAACGGGGCUCAAGUUCAGUACCGAAGCCGCGGAUGCGACUCUUUGAGUCGUGUGGUAGCGGAGCGUCGAGCGUGCAGCGAAGCGGCGGGACAACCCAGCCGUGGAGCGCGUUCGAGUGCGAAUGUUGGCAUGAGUAGCGAAUGAGGGGUGAGAACCCCCUCCGCCGUAUGUCCAAGGGUUCCUGGGCGAGGCCAAUCCUCCCAGGGUGAGUCGGGAGCUAAGGCGAGGCCGAGAGGCGUAGUCGAUGCACAACUGGUUGAUAUUCCAGUACCACCAUGUUCGCGUCCGUCCCAAUACUCUGUAGCUAAGGGGCUGUGUUGACUUCGGUCAACGCGAACCGACCCACAUUGUUGCGGGAAGCUGUAGGGGGACGCAGGAAGGUAGAUGAACCCGUGAAUGGUAGAACCGGGGUAAGCGUGUAGGAGGAGGACCAGGUAAAUCCGGGCCUCAUAAACUCUGAGACGUGAUACCGAGCCGCUUCAGGCGAAGUCAUUGAUCCUAUGCUGCCUAGAAAAGCCCAGCAGCGAGUUGACAUGGUGCCCGUACCCCAAACCAACACAGGUGGACAGGUAGAGCAUACCAAGGCGAGUGGGAUAACUAUGGUUAAGGAACUCGGCAAAUUGCCUCCGUAACUUCGGGAGAAGGAGGACCCCAGUAGCGUGAUGAGACUUGCUCUCUGAGCGUGAAGGGGUGGCACAAAAUUGAGGGAAGCGACUGUUUACCAAAAACACAGCAGCGUGCUAAGCCGUAAGGCGCUGUAUACGCUGUGACUCCUGCCCGGUGCUGAAGGUUACGGGGAUGGGUUAGUCCUUCGGGACGAAGCUCUGAACCUAAGCCCCAGUAAACGGCGGCCGUAACUAUAACGGUCCUAAGGUAGCGAAAUUCCUUGUCGGGUAAGUUCCGACCUGCACGAAUGGAGUAACGACUUCCCUACUGUCUCAACCAUAGACCCAGCGAAAUUGAAGUACGAGUAAAGAUGCUCGUUAGCUGCAGAAGG